GCUAACAUAUCUGAGCAAUUGUUCAGGAUUGCAGAAUGCAAAACUUGAGGUAAUUAGCAGAUUUCUAAUCCUUUGCUGAUGAAUUGCAGUUGGAGGGUUCCUUCAUAAAGGAUGACGUCCCCUAUUAUUUUUGGGCCUUCUUUCCGAAAGGAGACCUCACAGGUACAUACUGUCUUAAGUUUCUGUCAUCUCCUUCUUGAACUUCGAUGUGCAAUGCUGUCUUCCUUGCUGAAAGUUCUGCUGAUAGGAACAUCAUUAAUUAUAAUCAUUGGUUCAUAACCAAUAUUUGAGUCUGUUGCUAACAAUCUUACGGAAAAAAAAAUGUGCUCCGC
rnacentral:lncRNA from 1 species